GGCCAUGGCUGAUUUACGGUAGGCGUAAGAAUGUGUACCACCGUGGUCCUCGUAAUUUGGCCGUUCCCUUCUGGAUUCGGCGGCGCAUGAGCCGGCGGAGACAAAUCGGAGAAGCAAUCGGCUGUAGUCUUUGCUUGGCCUGUCUAGGGACUUGACGCAGCGGAGCACAUAAGGCAAAUGGAGCAAGGCCAAGGUGGUUCUUCUUUCUUCAGAAGACUGUGCGUAGGUGGAGGCAGCAGGUGUGGAAUAAGCGGCAGGGAGCGAUUGCUUGUCUUUCCUGCCGUUAUUCGCCAAGGGAUGAAUGGCUCGUUGAGAAUAGCUGAAUGGAUGGGAUAAGUGUUCAUUUUGGCAUUGAUGGAGAAAUAAAUUUAAAAACAAAGAUGUCAAAGAGAGAUGCUGAAGAAAACAGAUGAAAUAAGAAAAGGAAACAGAAAGAAGAUAGAUAACAAAUGUUGGUGUGGAAGAUGUACCAAAUGAUCAACAAACAUGAAACCAAUCUCAUAGAGGUGGUUGUCUCUAUUCCGGUUCUCCCCUGACCGGGCAAUGCGUACAACAGCACGCCUCGGAGAUCCUCGAGAGGUAGGGCAAACUGAAGGGAAGAUAAAAGAGGAAGAGGAAAUUACCAGCAACAGUGACGUCUGGAACCUCAACAGGACGCUUGCCUAAACUUAUCUCCCGCCUCCAAGAUUGUAUGUCAUCUAACAUUGAAGGAGAGGCAAGAGAUCGGCGGAAAGAAAUACCCGUAGAAGACCCAGUAUGGUGUGGAUCCAUAGGACAACCAAAAGGUGGACAGCAGGUAUAUCAGGCCCGGGAAGACGGACAGCAGAACCGGUAAGAGUAACAGCAACAUCGGAAGGAGUAUCCUCGG